rnacentral:rRNA from 1 species
GUCCACGCUGUAAACGAUGAUCACUAGAUGUGGGACGGAUUCGUCUGUUCCGUGUCGAAGCUAACGCGAUAAGUGAUCCACCUGGGGAUUACGGUCGCAAGAUUAAAACUCAAAGAAAUUGACGGGGGUCCGCACAAGCAGUGGAACAUGUGGUUUAAUUCGACACUACGCGAGAAACCUUACCCGGAUUUGACAUGUAACGUUUAAGGGGGCGAAAUCCCCUGAUCUGUAGCAAUACAGAGUGUUACACAGGUGCUGCAUGGCUGUCGU